AACCCGGCGCCCGCAGCAGCCGCUCCUCCAACGCGCGGCCCUCAGCCGCCACCACCGCCCACGCCGACGUCAUGGCUGCCUGGGGGGAGAGCGGGGGGUCAGCCCCAUAGCGGACCCACACACCCACUGUUGUGGGGCUCAGCCCCAUAGGGGACCCCACACACCCACUGCCGUGGGGCUCAGCCCCAUAGCGGACCCCACAGACCCACUGCCGUGGGGCUCAGCCCCAUAGGGGACCCCACAGACCCAUUGUUGUGAGGCUAAGCCCUAUAGGGGAUCACACAGACCCAUUGCCGUGGGGCUCAGCCCCAUAGCGGACCCCACACACACACUGCCGUGGGGCUCAGCCCCAUAGCGGACCCCACAGACCCAUUGUUGUGAGGCUCAGCCCUAUAGGGGAUCACACAGACCCACUGCUGUGGGGCUCAGCCCCAUAGCGGACCCCACAGACCCAUUGUUGUGGGGCUCAGCCCUAUAGGAGACGCUGGAGAGUCCCCAUUGGAGGGCUUCGGCCCUAUAUGAGGCUGUAGGGGUGCCAUGGGUGGGGCUCAGCCCUAUAGGGGACCCCACAGACCCAUUGUUGUGGGGCUCAGCCCCAUAGGGGACCCCACAGACCCACUGCUGUGGGGCUCAGCCCCAUAGGGGACCCCACACACCCACUGCCGUGGGGCUCAGCCCUAUAGGAGACACUGGAGAGUCCCCACUGGAGGGCUUCGGCCCUAUAUGAGGCUGUAGGGGUGCCAUGGGAGGUGCUCAGCCCCAUAGGGGACCCCACACACCCACUGCCGUGGGGCUCAGCCCCAUAGGGGACCCCACAGACCCAUUGUUGUGGGGCUCAGCCCUAUAGGGGACUCCAGAGACACAUUGCUAUGAGGCUCAGCCCCAUAGGGGAUCACACAGACCCGUUGCCGUGGGGCUCAGCCCUAUAGGGGACCCCACAGACCCAUUGCUAUGAGGCUCAGCCCCAUAGUGGACCCCACAGACCCACUGCCGUGGGGCUCAGCCCCAUAGGGGACCCCACAGACCCAUUGUUGUGAGGCUAAGCCCUAUAGGGGAUCACACAGACCCAUUGCCGUGGGGCUCAGCCCCAUAGCGGACCCCACAGACCCACUGCCGUGGGGCUCAGCCCCAUAGGGGACCCCACAGACCCAUUGUUGUGAGGCUAAGCCCUAUAGGGGAUCACACAGACCCAUUGCCGUGGGGCUCAGCCCCAUAGCGGACCCCACAGACCCACUGCCGUGGGGCUCAGCCCCAUAGCGGACCCCACAGUCCCACUGCCGUGGGGCUCAGCCCCAUAGGGGACCCCACAGACCCAUUGUUGUGAGGCUAAGCCCUAUAGGGGAUCACACAGACCCAUUGCCGUGGGGCUCAGCCCCAUAGCGGACCCCACACACCCACUGUUGUGGGGCUCAGCCCCAUAGCGGACCCCACAGUCCCACUGCCGUGGGGCUCAGCCCUAUAGGAGACACUGGAGAGUCCCCACUGGAGGGCUUCGGCCCUAUAUGAGGCUGUAGGGGUGCCAUGGGAGGUGCUCAGCCCUAUAGGAGACCCCACAGACCCGUUGCCGUGGGGCUCAGCCCCAUAGGGGACCCCACACACCCUCUGCCGUGGGGCUCAGCCCCAUAGCGGACCCCACACACCCACUGCCGUGGGGCUCAGCCCUAUAGCAGACCCCACAGUCCCACUGCCGUGGGGCUCAGCCCCAUAGGGGACCCCACAGACCCAUUCUUGUGGGGCUCAGCCCUAUAGGGGAUCACACAGACCCGUUGCCGUGGGGCUCAGCCCUAUAGGGGACCCCACAGACCCACUGCCGUGGGGCUCAGCCCCAUAGGGGACCCCACACACCCACUGUUGUGGGGCUCAGCCCCAUAGGGGACCCCACACACCCAUUACUAUGAGGCUCAGCCCCAUAGCGGACCCCACAGACCCAUUCUUGUGGGGCUCAGCCCUAUAGGGGACCCCACAGACCCAUUGUUGUGAGGCUCAGCCCUAUAGGGGAUCACACAGACCCACUGCCGUGGGGCUCAGCCCCAUAGGGGACCCCACACACCCACUGCCGUGGGGCUCAGCCCCAUAGCGGAACCCACACACCCACUGUUGUGGGGCUCAGCCCCAUAGGGGACCCCACAGACCCAUUGAUAUAAGGCUCAGCCCUAUAGGGGACCCCACAGACCCAUUGUUGUGGGGCUCAGCCCUAUAGCGCAUCACACAGACCCAUUGCUAUGAGGCUCAGCCCUAUAGUAGACGCUGGAGAGUCCCCAUAGGAGGGCUUCGGCCCUAUAUGAGGCCGUAGGGGUGCCAUGGGUGGGGCUCAGCCCUAUAGGAGACCCCACAGACCCAUUGUUGUGAGGCUCAGCCCUAUAGGGGACCCCACAGACCCAUUGUUGUGAGGCUCAGCCCCAUAGCGGACCCCACACACCCACUGCCGUGGGGCUCAGCCCUAUAGGAGACCCCACAGACCCACUGCCGUGGGGCUCAGCCCCAUAGGGGACCCCACAGACCCGUUAUUGUGAGGCUCAGCCCCAUAGGGGACCCCACAGACCCACUGCUGUGGGGCUCAGCCCUAUAGGGGACCCCACAGACCCACUGCCGUGGGGCUCAGCCCUAUAGGGGAUCCCACAGACCCAUUCUUGUGGGGCUCAGCCCUAUAGGAGACGCUGGAGAGUCCCCAUUGGAGGGCUUCGGCCCUAUAUGAGGCUGUAGGGGUGCCAUGGGUGGGGCUCAGCCCUAUAGGGGACCCCACAGACCCAUUGUUGUGGGGCUCAGCCCCAUAGGGGACCCCACAGACCCACUGCUGUGGGGCUCAGCCCCAUAGCGGACCCCACAGACCCACUGCCGUGGGGCUCAGCCCCAUAGGGGACUCCAUAGACACAGUGUUGUGGGGCUCAGCCCUAUAGGGGACCCCACAGACCCACUGCCGUGGGGCUCAGCCCCAUAGUGGACCCCACAGACCCAUUGUUGUGAGGCUCAGCCCUAUAGGGGAUCACACAGACCCACUGCCGUGGGGCUCAGCCCUAUAGGAGACCCCACAGACCCAUUGUUGUGAGGCUCAGCCCUAUAGGGGAUCACACAGACCCACUGCCGUGGGGCUCAGCCCUAUAGGGGACCCCACAGACCCAUUGCUAUGAGGCUCAGCUCUAUAAGGGACCCCACAGAACCAUUCUUGUGGGGCUCAGCCCCAUAGGGGACCCCACAGACCCACUGCCGUGGGGCUCAGCCCCAUAGGGGACUCCAUAGACACAGUGUUGUGGGGCUCAGCCCUAUAGGGGAUCACACAGACCCGUUGCCGUGGGGCUCAGCCCUAUAGGGGACCCCACAGACCCACUGCCGUGGGGCUCAGCCCCAUAGGGGACUCCACAGACCCAUUGUUGUGGGGCUCAGCCCCAUAGGGGACCCCACAGACCCACUGCCGUGGGGCUCAGCCCCAUAGGGGACUCCAUAGACACAGUGUUGUGGGGCUCAGCCCUAUAGGGGAUCACACAGACCCACUGCCGUGGGGCUCAGCCCUAUAGCAGACCCCACAGACCCACUGCCGUGGGGCUCAGCCCUAUAGGGGACCCUACAGACCCAUUGCUGUGGGGCUCAGCCCUAUAGGGGACCCCACAGACCCAUUGAUAUAAGGCUCAGCCCUAUAGGAGACCCCACAGACCCAUUGUUGUGGGGCUCAGCCCUAUAGGGGAUCCCAGAUAACCCUCCUACUAUGCUCAGCCCUAUAGGAGACCCCACAGACCCAUUGCUAUGAGGCUCAGCCCUAUAGGGGAUCACACAGACCCGUUGUUGUGGGGCUCAGCCCUAUAGGAGACCCCACAGACCCUAUAUAGCCCCUAUAGCCCCUCCAGCUCCCCUAUAGGUCCGAUACCUCCUGUAGCCCCCCCACGACCCCCCUAUGAGAUCCCAUAACUCCCCCUAUAGACCCUGAAACUCCCCAGAAGCCCCCCUAUAGCCCCCACAUUCCCCUAUAGCCCCCCCAUCCCCCUAUAGCCCCCCUAUAGCCCCCACAUCCUCCUAUAGCCCCGCUAUAGCCCCCACAUCCCCCUAUAGCCCCCACAUCCCCCUAUAGCCCCCCUUAUAGCCCCCCUAUAGCCCCCACAUCCCCCUAUAGCCCCCCUAUAGCCCCC
rnacentral:lncRNA from 1 species